GACGAACGCUGGCGGCGUGCUUAACACAUGCAAGUCGAACGGAAAGGCCCUGCUUUUGUGGGGUGCUCGAGUGGCGAACGGGUGAGUAACACGUGAGUAACCUGCCCUUGACUUUGGGAUAACUUCAGGAAACUGGGGCUAAUACCGGAUAGGAGCUCCUGCUGCAUGGUGGGGGUUGGAAAGUUUCGGCGGUUGGGGAUGGACUCGCGGCUGAUCAGCUUGUUGGUGGGGUAGUGGCUUACCAAGGCUUUGACGGGUAGCCGGCCUGAGAGGGUGACCGGCCAAUUGGGACAUGGGAGCCGCCCAUGCCUCCUAGGGGGGGCAGGGGGGGGGAUUUUUCCACAAAGGGCGGGAGCGUGAAGAAGCCCCCCGGGGUGGGGAUUGACGGCCUUGGGUUUGAAAACCGUUUUCCCCUUGCACGAAGGGUGGGACGCGGAAAGGGGAAAAAAACCCCGGUCAAAUUGUG
rnacentral:rRNA from 1 species